rnacentral:rRNA from 1 species
UGAGGAAUAUUGGUCAAUGGGCGAGAGCCUGAACCAGCCAAGUAGCGUGCAGGAUGACGGCCCUAUGGGUUGUAAACUGCUUUUAUGUGGGGAUAAAGUGCGUGACGUGUCAUGCAUUGCAGGUACCACAUGAAUAAGGACCGGCUAAUUCCGUGCCAGCAGCCGCGGUAAUACGGAAGGUCCGGGCGUUAUCCGGAUUUAUUGGGUUUAAAGGGAGCGUAGGCUGUCUAUUAAGCGUGUUGUGAAAUAUACCGGCUCAACCGGUGGCUUGCAGCGCGAACUGGUCGACUUGAGUAUGCAGGAAGUAGGCGGAAUUCAUGGUGUAGCGGUGAAAUGCUUAGAUAUCAUGACGAACUCCGAUUGCGCAGGCAGCUUACUGUAGCAUAACUGACGCUGAUGCUCGAAAGUGCGCGUAUCAAACAGG